UCCCGAUGCUUAUUUCUAGAGAUAGAAAGUUACUUCGGUACAUCGGUGACAGGUGGUGCAUGGUUGUCGUCAGCUCGUGUCGUGAGAUGUUGGGUUAAGUCCCGCAACGAGCGCAACCCCUAUUGUUAGUUGCCAUCAUUCAGUUGGGCACUCUAGCGAGACUGCCGGUAAUAAACCGGAGGAAGUGGGGAUGGCGUCAAAUCAUCAUGCCCCUUAUGACCUGGGCUACACACGUGCUACAAUGGUUGGUACAACGAGUUGCGAGUCGGUGACGGCGAGCUAAUCUCUUAAAGCCAAUCUCAGUUCGGAUUGUAGGCUGCAACUCGCCUACAUGAAGUCGGAAUCGCCAGUAAUCGCGGAUCAGCACGCCGCGGUGAAUACGUUCCCGGGCCUU
rnacentral:rRNA from 1 species